rnacentral:snRNA from 1 species
UGAAUGAUCGGAACUCCCUGCAAAACGUUAGUAACAGGAGACACAAAAGUUUGCUCCUCCCAUGUUUGCAUGUCAUCAUUGCACAAGGAUAUAUGAGAUUCAGAAACAUGAAAUAAAUCACAUUGUU